rnacentral:misc_RNA from 1 species
GCAUGCACGCACAUCCCAAUCUCAGCCCUUCUCCGACAGGGUCCGCGCGCGUUUCUUUGUCUUUUGUCUCGCCCCUCCGCCACAUAUAUACACACACCCUUUUCCACCUAUCUGUGGGCGGGCACCUGUAGCCAUCUCAUACCUUGUGCUAAUUAGCGCACACUCGCAUCAGCUCUCGUUCUCUUCAUCUUCGAACACACAAACGCUUCCGCCGUCAACACUCCCUCCCUCCCACCACUCUCCUAUCAUUGAAGGAACGCGCGGGCACAAUGUUCGAGAGCAACCUCCUCUCGCAGAUCAACACCUCGUCACCGCUGCCAACAGUGGUCGAGGUGCAGUUCACCACCAGCAUCAACCAGACCCUCUACAAGGCAUUCCAGUUUGCUCACACGCUGCUCGCGGAGAAGAGUGACCGGGCGGCUGUGCUGCUGCCGUGGAGUGAUGAGAUAUACUUGGCUUUGUCGGGAAUGAUGGAGCGGCUGAUGCUGGAGCACGCUGACACCACCUUCUCCGAGAUGAUAUUUGCCCUGCGUCGCGCGGAGGUGGACGGGCCGCUCGCCGCUGCCCCACCACUCUCCUCGUCAUCCGCCGCCGCGUCUGGGCCAUCUUCGCCAGGGCUGCGGCCUGGUGCGCGUGGUCGGUACCUUCGCUGGCUGCUGCUGGGGCCACCGCCGGUGACCACUCCGGAAGAGCGCGCCAUGAACUUCAUCAACGACGGUGUCUCCUCACAGCUGCGCGUUCACGCCAGCGCACCGGCAGACGCCGCCGUCGCGGCGAUCGUGUCGCCGGAUAUGGCGACGCCCACGCCGCUCAUGGAUGCCGGCGCCACAGACUCGACGGCGGCGGUGGGGAGCGCGGCGGACGCCGCGGCGCUCUCGCAGCUGAAGUCCGUCGAGCUUCUCAAGGCUGAGCACGCUCCGUACGGCUACCUGCGCUUCAAGACGCUUAGCCGUCGCAACAAGGUCAUCUCUCUCCUCCUCUUGACGCUCAAGCCGUACCUGGAACGAAAGGCGGAGCAGUGGUACGUGCGCAGCACCGACACCUCCGUCGACGCCGUCGCCAUGCGGAACGCGUAUGCUUACCGCUACCCGCACCGAGCGGCCCUCUUGCACUUCCUCGCGAAGUACGUCUACCCCAUCUACCACGUCAUGAAGCAGGGGUCACGGUUCCUGUACAUGAUGUGCUUCCUGCUGGAGAUGACGCCCUACACGUCGCCGCUGCAUCGCGUCUUCGGCAUCGCGCUGCGCCGGAGUACCCUCGAGGACUCGCUUGCGACGGGCCCCCGUGCGCAGCGCGCGCUGCUUGUCGCGCGCGUCGUGCUGAUUCUCGUCUUCUGCGGCUUCCGGCUGCUAGACUUCACACGGAACGCUGACGGGGCAUCCUCGCCACGUCAGAUCCGGGAAGAGGGGCUUCCGAUUCCGCCGCCACCAGUGCUUGGCAGCGACGUGCCGCUGCCAGAGGACCGAAGCAGCCUCCCGAAAGCUGGUGAGUGCCCCGUCUGCCGCAGACACGUUACGAACGCGGCGGUCUGUCUCAUCAGCGGCAUCGUGGGCUGCUACCCUUGCCUGCAAGGGUACGUGCAAGAGCAACGAGCGUGUCCUGUCACGCACCAGUCGAUGGGGGUGGAGCAGAUCCGCCGAGUUUUCGAGUGCUAAGGUGCGGCGGUGCCUGAGAGAGAGGAAGAGGUGGCGCGCACGCAGGUGGGGGAAGAACAGGAGCGAGAAAGGGCUGAGCCGGGGAGAGAGCUCUAGGCGGCUGGCUCGCUGGUGUUUGCCUUUGGCCACGGGACAGAUGUGUUGUGUGUGGCGAUGUGCGCUCCUGUAGGGCUCAUGUGUUUGUCGUAGAGGGGAGGGGAAGGUGGGGGCGAAGACGUGCCGUAGGCAGAAGCAGAGCUCGUCUGAUGGCGCAUGCCACCAUCACGCCCUCCACCCAUCUCCGUGUAUGUCGGCGCUUCUCCUUCGUUAUUCGCUGUGCUAUUUGUGAUCUCUCUUCAGCUUUUCCGUGUGUAUCUCUUCGGUGCCGGAUGGUUCCCUCUCCCCCCCCCGCCUUUCUCUCUCUUUCGGUGGGCAAACGCUGGAGUCGCCACCCAACAUCGACGUUGGCGCUGCGGAGCGUGCUCACUUUGCCCUUCUGUAGGUGUGCGCUAUUCGAUCAGCUUCUGUUGUGUGUCAGGGGAUGGGCGGGGGGGGGGGAGUACUGUUGAAGCGGACUCCUGCCGAUGUUUGUCAUUACGUUGCUGGAGCCUGCGCUGCGCCUGCACAGGCGCAGCUGUGUGUGUGUGUGUGUGUGUGUGUGUGAAUGCAUAUUUGGAUGGGAAUGCGCGCCCCAGUAAAAAGGGAAGAGGCGUGUUUUGAGAGGCGCAGCUGCGCGUGCCAAGACAUUACGCUCCUCCUUUUUCGCCUCAAAAAGCGUCCAUCUUCCGCCACGAGCGCGCCAGCAAGCGGUUGCGCCGGCAACUGCCGCAGCAGCUCGCCCACCACGGCGAAGUCCCCGGGCGUCUUGGGCGAACGGUCCUGCCGACGAAUCGCGUGACAUG